UACGGAGGGUGCAAGCGUUGCUCGGAAUUAUUGGGCGUAAAGGGUAGGUAGGUGGUCUCAUUUGUCUGGGGUGAAAGCCUUGAGCUUAACUCGAGAAGUGCCCCAGAAACGGUGAGACUGGAGUCCUGGAGAGGGUCGUGGAAUUCCCGGUGUAGCGGUGAAAUGCGCAGAUAUCGGGAGGAACACCAGUGGCGAAGGCGGAACUCUGGGCCGGAACUGACGCUGAGGAGCGAAAGCGUGGGGAGCGAACAGG
rnacentral:rRNA from 1 species